rnacentral:misc_RNA from 1 species
CUGAAUUUGAAACAAUGUGACAGCAGCUUUAUUUAGUUGUGCAAAAGCAUGGUGGCUGUUUUAGUGUGUGCCUAGCACUUAUAUAGUUAUAUGUAGGAAGUGGUGGUGGUUUAUAAAAAAUUAAAAAUCAUGGUGACUUAAGAUUCAGUUUCUACCGGGAGCAAAUUUUACAUGCUUGGGAAUUUGACACAGGCCUUUCCUUGUGUUGCAGCAGCUAAGAGCUUGCUUGUUUUCGUGAAUUUAUUUAAGAUUCUAACUCAUUUUGUCUGGACUUUUUGCAGUCUUCAUUAGCAGCAGCAAGAGCUGAUAAUUUCUACUACCCCCCAGAAUGGACUCCAAAACAGGGUUCUUUGAACAAGUUUCAUGGCCAGCAUGCUCUCAGGGAGAGAGCAAAAAAGAUAGACCAGGGCAUUUUGAUAAUCAGGUUCGAGAUGCCAUUCAAUGUAUGGUGUGGUGGUUGCAAUUCUAUGAUUGCAAAGGGUGUUCGGUUCAAUGCAGAGAAAAAGCAAGUGGGGAACUAUUAUUCUACAAAGGUAUCUUAAACAACUGAUUAACAUAUGUUACCAACACUUCAAAGAUAGAAAUCUAGAAGUAUGUGAAGGGAUCCAGUGAUGGCUUUGUACAUGUUUAAUUGAAGGAGAAUAUUGACCUUUUCUGCUUAAACUUGAUUUUAUAUUGUGCUGCUUUGAAGUGAAACUGUGGACUUGCAUCCUUACUGACGCGCAUAGUUCACACACACACAGCAAUCCUGACUACUUGUAUCUUGUACAUGGUUUUAGGCCAUCAGAAAGUUUAUCUGCUAAUCAAUUUUGCCCCCCUAGCCAAUUGGAGAGCUCAUGUUUUAAUCCUGUUGAGCACUUAUUUAUACUAUGGAAUUUUGUUUUUCUAUUUCUAAUCUAAGUUUCUUAUGUGUCUUGUUACUUCCUUCAGAUAUGGAGCUUUACCAUGAAAUCUGCAUGCUGCAAACAUGAAAUUGUUAUUCAGACAGAUCCGAAAAAUUGUGAAUAUGUGAUUAUUAGUGGGGCUCAACGAAAGACUGAGGAGUUUGAUGUUGAGGAUGCAGAAACAUUUGCACUUCCUGCAGAUGAAGAGAGGGGUAAGUUGGCGGAUCCAUUUUAUCGUCUUGAACAUCAAGAAGAGGAUUUGCAGAAGAAGAAAGAAGCUGAGCCAGUGCUAGUUCGGCUUCAACGAGUAUCUGAUGCUAGGCAUUCAGAUGACUAUGCUCUUAACAAGGCUCUUCGAGCCCAACUUAGAAGUCAAAAGAAAAGAGUUGCUGAAGAAGAGGUCGCUUCAAGGAAAAUGGGACUUGGCAUAAGACUGCUUCCGACUGCUAAAGAAGAUUCUGUUGCAGCAGCAAAUGUGAAGUUCUCUUCCAAGUUUGACAAAAAUAGAAGGGAUAAGCGAGCAUUAAUUAAUGCAACUUCAAUCUUUUCAGAAUCUUCUGUACCCUCCUCGUCCAAUAAGAAGCGAUUGGAGCUAGAAGCCAAGAGAAGGAAAAUCAGUGCAGCUGCAGCAUCAAACUUGCUGAGAGGGGGAUUUAAGCCAUCUUCAUGGUCGCGGGGUGCGGUUUCUUCAAUCAGGCAUAAGUGAAUAAAUUCAAGACAUUUUUAGCUAUGGAUAUUAUGCGUAACUGAUGUUUCUCUGCAUUUGGAUUUAAUAUCUAUGUGUGGAAUUUUUUUCUCCUUUGCCUGCUCUAGGUGGCAUUGGAUCAUGUACAUAGCAGUGUCUGCUACUUUGUUCUCCUUUUUGCUGGCCCUUGUUUUCUAGGGCGCCAACAAAGGUUAUAGCAAGUAUUUUGGGUGUCGUAUUCAGCUAGUAAUCUCAAACAGGGAAAUGAACGACAGUUAUCGAAUUUCUAGUAGAAAUUCCUUUCCCCGUCUGGGUAAGAAGAUUCUUCGUCCGUCUAAUAAAGAAAUUUGAAAUGGAGUUAUCGUAUGACAAACUCAAAUGCUCGAAAAGAAUUUGGGAAUACUUUUCUUAUUACACGUGCGUCAUCUCUAUAAACUGUCCCUAGGAAAAUCAGGGAAUUUAAGCCUUGCUAUGGGGCCAGUGCCUUUCAUUUUGUAAUAAGUUUUCAUAUUAUUGAAUCAACUUUACCCUAAUUAAUAUUUUUUUUUUAUAAGUAAUUUUUUUUUUUA